CGUGUAUUAAAGAAAUUUUGCCAUAAACUGAAUGAAUGUGGCGUCAGCAAUAAUUGUCAUACGCCAGAAUGAGGCUUUAUUUGCAUAUCACAUAAGCCUAAAUACAUCACAUUUUAAAUAAUAUCGUUCGUGUACAUAUAUACGAAAGAGUCUAAAUUAACGUGUAUCAUUCAUUUAAUUAUAGCGUGCUUCCAAACGACCAAAUGACGUGGUUUGCGCACGUUUAAUAAUAACACAUAAUGCGUUCAUUGAAUGCAAUUAGAAUAAUUAACUAAUUAGACAAUUAAAAAUUAAAUUAAUUAGUUUGACAUAUGUUAUCACACAGUCAGUAUUCCUGCUCCUGAAGCUGGACUUGUGAUAUAAAUUGUUGCCUUGUCGUAGCCAGCCUACAACAAACAAAGAUAGUUUACUACUAGUACUACUACAUUAUAAUUUUCUGAGGGUAUAUCCGCACAAGUCUAAAGCCCUGGGCAAACUAGGAAACAUUGUUGUCGGGAAACAUUUGUGAUUCUCGAUGUUUCCUCAAAUGUUUCCCUGUUUUCCCACCCGUGGAAACAUUGUUGCGGAAACAAAAUUUGCUUCCCGAGAAGCAAAAAGGUUUCCUAGCGAAUUCAGAAACAUUUGAUGUUUCCCUAUGUUUCUCACUAAUGUUUCCUAGUGUUUGCCCACUCUGGGAAACAUGGCGAAACAUUGGCAGGAAACAAUGUUUCCGCAACAAUGUUUCCUAGUUUGCCCAUGCGGGGCUUAAGAGCCUUACACAAAGACAGUUUAAUUAAAACUUCUUUCAUUACACACAGAUCACUACCCUGGUUCCAGAGGUUUAUUUUUAUUAUUUUCAUUGCGAAGGGGAGAGGAAAAAUAAACCUCUGGUUGAAAGCGGCAAUUGAUUCAUCAAGCCGCGCCAAUCAG